AAGCAUGAUGCGGUAUGGGUAG
rnacentral:siRNA from 1 species